rnacentral:rRNA from 1 species
UAGCCAUGCAUGUCUAAGUACAUACCUUUAAACGGUGAAACCGCGAAUGGCUCAUUAAAUCAGCUAUGGUUCCUUAGAUCGUACCUACUACAUGGAUAACUGUAGUAAUUCUAGAGCUAAUACAUGCCACUAUGCCCUGACCCGCAAGGGAACGGGUGGAUUUAUUAGAACAGAACCAACCGUGAGGUGNNNNNGGCUGCUUCCGUUGCACUCUGUGAUGACUCUGGAUAACUUCACUGAUCGCAGUCGGCCUUGUGUCGGCGACGGAUCUUUCAAAUGUCUGCCCUAUCAAUUUUCGAUGGUAGGUGAUCUGCCUACCAUGGUGAUAACGGGUAACGGGGAAUCAGGGUUCGAUUCCGGAGAGGGAGCCUGAGAAACGGCUACCACUUCCAAGGAAGGCAGCAGGCGCGCAAACUACCCAAUCCCGGCACGGGGAGGUGGUGACGAAAAAUACGGAUACGGGACUCGAAUGAGGCUCCGUAAUUCGAAUGAGUACAAUUUAAAUCCUUUAACGAGGAUCAACUGGAGGGCAAGUCUGGUGCCAGCAGCCGCGGUAACUCCAGCUCCAGAAGCGUAUAUUAAAGUUGUUGCAGUUAAAAAGCUCGUAGUUGGAUCUGGGUCGUAUGGCUACGUUCCGUUGCUUGUAUUCUGGGCUUGGCUUUGCUAGGUCUGGUUUGCGGGUCGGUGUUGUGGCUGUGCAGCCUUUCUGCCGUGUCUGUGUUAUAACAGGUGCCGACCUCAUCGGUGAGCUUGUCUCGUCGGUUGGUUGGCAUGCUCUUUGAUGCCUUUGAACGGGUGUCGGGGGCGGACGGUGCGUUUACUUUGAACAAAUUUGAGUGCUCAAAGCAGGCCUGUGCCUGAAAAUUCUUGCAUGGAAUAAUGGAAUAGGACUUCGGUUCUAUUUUGUUGGUNUUCGGAUCCGAAGUAAUGGUUAAGAGGGACAGACGGGGGCAUUUGUAUGGCGGUGUUAGAGGUGAAAUUCUUGGAUCGCCGCCAGACAAACUACAGCGAAAGCAUUUGCCAAGGAUGUUUUCAUUGAUCUGGAGCGAAAGUCAGAGGUUCGAAGACGAUCAGAUACCGUCCUAGUUCUGACCAUAAACGAUGCCAACUGACGAUCCGUGGGUGAUCUUAUAAUGACCCUGCGGGCAGUCCCCGGGAAACCUUUAAGUCUUUGGGCUCCGGGGGAAGUAUGGUUGCAAAGCUGAAACUUAAAGGAAUUGACGGAAGGGCACCACCAGGAGUGGAGCCUGCGGCUUAAUUCGACUCAACACGGGAAAACUCACCCCGNCCCGGNCNCUGUGAGGAUUGACAGAUUGAUAGCUCUUUCUUGAUUCGGUGGUUGGUGGUGCAUGGCCGUUCUUAGUUGGUGGAGCGAUUUGUCUGGUUAAUUCCGAUAACGAACGAGACUUUGGCCUGCUAAAUAGUGUACCUGUCCUCUGUGCUCGUGCAGAUGGCGGUUUUCUCUGCCCGUUCGCGGGUGGGUGAGGCUGUUUAUCGGCGAGGUGCUGC